rnacentral:rRNA from 1 species
CCGCCGCGCGCGGCGGGCUACGGGAGGCAGCAGUGGGGAAUAUUGCACAAUGGGCGCAAGCCUGAUGCAGCCAUGCCGCGUGUGUGAAGAAGGCCUUCGGGUUGUAAAGCACUUUCAGCGGGGAGGAAGGCGGUGAGGUUAAUAACCUCGUCGAUUGACGUUACCCGCAGAAGAAGCACCGGCUAACUCCGUGCCAGCAGCCGCGGUAAUA